rnacentral:lncRNA from 13 species
AAUACCCUAGUUACAGUCUAUAACGACGACUCAGAGAAGACUGUAGUUACAGUCUAUAACGACGACUCAAAGACCCUAGUUACAGUCUAUAACUAUGACUGAGAACGUCCUAGUUACAGGCUGUUACAAAGGCCCAAGGUUUUUUCUGGUCAGUUCAAGUUAUGGGGAAAAACUCCUGGCCCUACAGAUGUGUCGACGAUGUCCACUAGACUCAAAACCUCCAGUCCACCCCCGACAUUAUGUAACCCUGACAUUAUGCAAUCCUGACCAAUCCAACAGCAUUAUCAACUUCCAUCACAAUGAAACACUCCCCAUUCACCAUCUUCAACUGACCCCUCUCGGACAUCAUCAAACAGAACUCUGACAAAUGAAUCAACUGACAGAAUUAAUAGAUUUUAUUUCUGUGUGUCAUACUUCUAAAUACUUAGCUGAAUAUCUGUCCUGUGCCUCUGCUGCUGUCGCGAUGGAUCCAGUACCACAGCUCUGGGGCCGAGUGUAUAAAGCGCCUCAGAGUAGGAGUGCUGAUCUAGGCUCAGGUCUCUCUGUCCAUGUAAUCUUUUACCUAAAAGGUAAAACUGAUCCCAAAUCAGGUCUCUCUGUCCAUGUAAUCUUUUACCUAAAAGGUAAAACUGAUCCCAAAUCAGCACUCCUACUGGGAAUUAGAGUCCCUGAAGGCUAAACUACUCCCUCUCAAAGGGAACAGAAAUAAAUGUUGUAGAACCUUCAGAUAGCAGGUCAAAUGAACAAUGAAUGAAGGAUGUAUUACAGGGGCUAUAUUAAAA